UAGGGAAUCUUCGGCAAUGGGGGCAACCCUGACCGAGCAACGCCGCGUGAGUGAAGAAGGUUUUCGGAUCGUAAAGCUCUGUUGUAAGAGAAGAACGUGUGUGAGAGUGGAAAGUUCACACAGUGACGGUAACUUACCAGAAAGGGCCGCCUAACUACGUGCCAGCAGCGGCGGUAAUACGUAGGUCCGGAGCGUUGUCGGGAUUUAUUGGGCGUAAAGCCGGCGCGGGCGGUUUAAUAAGUCUCAAGGUAAAGGCAGUGGUUUAACCAGUGUUCGCUUUGGAAACUGUUAAACUUGAGUGCAGAAGGGGAGAGUGGAAUUCCAUGUGUAGCGGUGAAAUGCGUAGAUAUAUGGAGGAACACCGGUGGCGAAGGCGGCUCUCUGGUCUGUAACUGACGCUGAGGCUCGAAAGCGUGGGGAGCAAACAGG
rnacentral:rRNA from 1 species